CCGAAGGAAGUUAUGUUUUACUCUAUUUUCUCAAGAUAAGAAAAUAAUAUCGAUAAAGUGGUUAUCGAUAGUCAUUAAUAUGAAAAUUGGACGAAAAAGUGAGAAAAAGUGCAAAUUAGCUCAAAAUGGAAAUUUGAGCGUUUUUGGCCAAAAUUGCCAAAAUAAAUUGUUGAAAAGUGAUAUUAUAAGAUAUGAUACUAAUAUUAUUUAUUUGGAAAAUAAAUAAUACGGAAUUCAUCGAGAAUCGAAUAAUUAAAGGAUUAGUGGACUAAAUUGGACGAAAGAAAAGUUAGAAGUUAGAGGUUGAGGAGGUGGCAAACUCAAGGACUAAAGGAGACUUUUGUCUCAUUUAUCUAAGCCACUUGCAUAUGAGUUUAAACUCAGCAAGCUUAUCAUUUUCAGCUCCCAAAUUUCGUACUCCAUCCUUUCUCCAUGGAAGAUCAUCAACCAAAUUUCAAAGGAGCAUAACUUCUUCGUUUCUCAACGAAAUUGGACGAUUCUUGUGGCCACGGAACGAGAAGAAGGAGAGCUACUGAUCUAGCCCUAUUGUUCAAGGUGUUCUUGAGUUGAAUUGAAGCAAAGUUGAUGGUGAAUUUGAGCUUGAAGUGUUUGGCCAUGAUCAACAAUCCAAGACUCGACGAAGCGACUAUCGACAAGGCUUGAGGGGAAUGGAUCGAGAUGUCUUCGUGUUUAUUUAAAGAUUAUGGAUAGCAAGUGGGAUAGCAUGAUAUUAUUUGGAAAGUCAAGCUUCCGAAGUUUUAAUUCUCGGAAGUCAUUUGCACAAGAAGUGAAAGAAGAUUUUCAUUCUAGCGGUCCGCAGUAGUCUAGAUGUUUUUGUCUAUGUAGUUGACUAGCGCAUUUUAACUCUAAUAUUUUUGUAAAAUGGGGUCACAUGUAUUUUGAUAUAUGAAAAAAUGAUUUGAUUUGCGAAAAAUUUACACAGGUUUUUAGGCUUGCUACGGGAUUUGGAGCUACCACUCCCAUUCCCUAGCGCCGGUCGCGGCUCAUAAAUUUGGGUCGUGACAGAGCUGUUAAUGAAUAUGAUAUUUACGAUUGGGUUUUGAUACGAGU